AGUAACCCUAAAACAGACAGGCCAUUAAUCUCUUUGACAUCACAUCUCUUCGCGGAAAUCUCAUUAAUGGGUUCCUUUCGUCUCCCUCUCAGAUUCUUUAUAUCAUUCAUAUUUUCCCUCACAUUUGUGACACACAAAAUUCUCUCAAGCCAUGAAUUCUAACAGCAAAUCAACCGUUUCCGGCGAUUUUACCACGAAGAAACCGAACGGAAAGGAUGUUGUCUCCUCCGCGAGCCGGUCGAACGAGACGGGCAAACCCAAACCUUCAUCUCUAUUGCUAAAUAUGUUUCCGGUGAUCCUAAGAAGAGAUGACGAGAGUAGAUGAGCAGUAGGGGUUUCUUUAAUUGGUUCAAAGUAUAUGGCUGCUUCAAUCUCAGCAAGACUUAUUCGCACUGUUGGAUCCUUUGCAGCUUUAGGACGCAGCAGCACAAAUGCAUCUGGAAAUUUUUUAAGCUCUCUUCCAUGUAAUCUAAAGGUUGAUGUCUACAUCACUUCGAUUGCAUAUACAGACUCACCAAAUCGAAGUAGUCUGUUGGCUUAUACACAAAUAUCUUAUUGGCGUCAAUGUCGUUCUCGGAUAUGAGGUACCACCAUCGUUUCUUUUUUGAAAUGCUCUCUUUGUGAUUGUAUCUAUGUUGAGUCUAAUCUACAGAUGGAGCAAAUGCGGUUGGGGAAGACUCUACAAGCAAUUUUUUCUUGAGCUAUCUGAAGUUUCAUCAAGGAUUGCGAGGGCCAUUUCUUGAGUCAAUGAGAUCUGCUUCUUAAAGACAAGUUCUGAUGUUGUGUUGUUUAAUGUUGUGUCUUGAUUUGGCAGUUUUGCUUUGUUCUUUUAACAUAACCGAUGGUUGGGUAAAAGGUUCAGUCCAGAACUUGAAGUUUUUAGGUAUGUUGGUGAUAAGGAUUGCCGUAGGGAUUUGUAGGGAUUUGCGUAAGGUAAUGCAUGAUUAUGUCAACAAGGGCUCUAAGACGAGAGUAAAUUUUUUUGUCUUUCUCAAGAAACUUUGGGUUUAUCAGCUGUGUAUAAUUAUAUUGUUUUGUUUGUUUUGUUUCAGAAAUCUUUGUUACCGUUUGAUGUGUUGUUGACAACGUAUGAUAUAGCAUUGGUGGAUCAAGACUUCCUUUCUCAGGUUCCGUGGUAACUGAUGAAGCUCAAAUACUCAAGAAUCCCAACAGUGUAUGUUACCUACCUAGAAAAAUUCAUCGAGUUGUGAAAUGAAUGAUAGAUCAUUGGUUAGUUGAUACUGUGAAUUCAAGAUUAACUUCCAUUCAUUUCACACAUCUCUUAUGUAGCCGUUUAUAUGGAUUUAUUGUAUCGGUUUACUUUCCAGCCGAAAGCUCUCCACUUCUAUUUUGACUCCUGAUUGUACAUUCAUGA